rnacentral:rRNA from 1 species
AUGACAACUGCAUGCGUCUUGACUGGACGUGGACUACCAGUGGUAUGCUACAUGCCUGUAUCGCUCCCCACGACUUUCAGCUCCUCAGCGUCAGUUACAUGACCAGAGAGUCGCCUUCGCCACUGGUGUACCUCCACAUCUCUACGCAUCUCACCGCUACACGUGGAAUUCCACUCUCCUCUUCUGCACUCAAGUCUCCCCGUUUCCAAUGACCCUCCCCGGUUGAGCCGGGGGAUUUCACAUCAGACUUAAGAAACCGCCUGCGAGCUCUUUACGCACAAUAAUUCCGGACAUCGCUUGCCACCUACGUAUGACCGCGGCUGCUGGCACGUAGUUAGCCGUGGCUUUCUGGUUAGGUACCGUCAAGGUGCGAGCAGUUACUCUCGCACUUGUACUUCCCUAACAACAGAGCUUUACGAUCCGAAAAACCUUCAUCACUCACGCGUGCGUUGGCUCCNGUCAGUACUUAUCNGUCCAUGGGCGAGNAAUG